AGGUUAAGAUAAUUUUUUAAAGCUUUUCUCAGUUCGGAUUGCAGGCUGCAAUUCGCCUGCAUGAAGCCGGAAUCGUUAGUAAUCGCGGAUCAGCACGCCGCGGUGAAUACGUUCCCGGGCCUUGUACACACCGCCCGUCACACCACGAGAGUUUGUAACACCCGAAGUCGGUGAGGUAACCUUUUGGAGCCAGCCGCCUAAGGUGGGAUAGAUGAUUGGGGUGAAGUCGAACAAGAGCUGAUCCGCGUCA
rnacentral:rRNA from 1 species